CACAUUCCGUCCACAGCCAGGACAGAGGACGGGGUUCUGUGAGGACACUGAGGGCAUCAGCUCACAGCUGCCAGUGAUCUUCAGAUGCUAACUAGCCCUUCAAAGUUUUUGAAACUCCUUCAGAUAAUUUGUUCUGACAGGGAUGUGGAGAACUUGGGACUGGGAAUGGUGGCCAGUUUCUAUCUCUUGGAAGAUCACACUCACCUGGUCCUCCAGUAGGAACCUCUCCACCUGAUUGUAUGCCUUUGUGUACUUGUGCUUAAUAACCAGUUCACACCAUCGAUGGCGAACCUGGGAAACAAGACAGGAAACCUGGUGCUUCUGCCUGUUUGCUUCUCAGAGUACAAUGCCACACCUGUUGCCAGCAAGCUGUCUGAACUCUACCCAGCAAGCAGCCAGCCAAUCAGUGGAUGCUACAUCACUGCUUUAGUAUCAGCCAGUAAAAUUUAAAGAGAGCAGACAGUCCUUAGCGGGGCAAGCCUACAGCCCUGGUGGCCCCUCACUGCCCCAGGCUGAAGGACAGGUGCCUGUGGACAUGGCCUAGCUCACCAAUGGCAGGAGAGAGAAGCUGGGUUACCAGAGACUUCCUAGGUGCGGUGAUGGCUGUGAGCAAGAAGGGAUCCAGGAGAGAGAAGGCACUGGUGGGGACCACACAGCUUAAGACCAACUAGCCUUGGCCAUCGAGUCCUGGUUGCAGAAGAGAAUAUGGGGCCUGGAUGACCGCUGGAGGAAGAGACAAGACCUUGGGGUGCUCACACCACCUCUGGGAAGUACAUCCAGGCGCACAAUUCUGGGAAUUUUCAAGACCAUUUGUACAGAGGACUCACUUGGACUCAUACCAACCCCAGCUAUGUGGCAAUUCUGUCCCAUGUACAAGGUUACUGUGAACCAGAAGUUCCCUCGGAGCUGAAAGGCUCUUCACUUGUUAACACCACAGAGGUACCCUGCUCUUCUGGUGUCUACAGUCUUAAAGCAUUGCCACUUAGAAAGCCACUUCUAUUCCUGAACUGUGCCUCAAAUUCCGGGCUACGAACCUGACCACCAUCAGAGAUCUCUUCUGGAAACAGUUGAUACCUAGCCUAGCUCUCCUCCCAACCAGGGGACAACAGUGUCAGCAUCCCUCUACUCUGACCAUAGGCCCUGACACAGCCUUUCUGUUCAAGGCCAGAUGCAGGGUACCACUGGUCCUCUGCCCUUUUGGUUUUGCCCCUGAAGAACAGGGCAGACACAGCUCAUUACUUAAACCACUGUUUACAGAACAGACUAUGUGGUGUACUGACCUAGAUCAUACAUUGCUAUCCAAGUAUUUCCUCCCCAAACCUACCAUGUCAACGGACAUCCAGGUGGGAACCCCUGAAACCUUAGGAUGGACCCAGCAUGACAUGCAGAGUAGCCCUGAGUGCUGGUCCCAACCCCCCAAGUCCUAUUGCUGUCUCUGCAGUUCCAAUUCCAGGCUCAGCAUUCAUUCUGAGGAUUAUUAAAGGGGAGAUCCUGCAUCUCACUGGUCUGUGGGAACAGUACAGGGGCUGAUCCAGUGCUGCGGUGGCCAGGCAUGGAGGGUGAUGCCAGCGCAGAGAGAAUGAGUGCAGCCAGCAAGAGCAAAAGGUUCCUGGCUGUAGGCGUGUGGGUCUGCCCUGCUUUAUGCUCCUACCACAGACCCAAAGUCAUGGGGCUAACCACCCAGGGGCUGGAACCAUAGCCUGAGCCAAAAGCAACCUGUUCUCUUUACAAGGUGAUUGAUUAUCUGAGCCAUUUGCUGGACUAACAGCUGCCUAGCAUACACAUACCAGUGUUUUACAUGAAGUUGCCUUUCAAGGAGUCAGCCAUUGACACCCCUCCCCCUCCCAGUGCUAUGGCUGUAGCUCAGUGGUUAGUGCCUACUUGGUAAGAUCAAGGAGGACCCCAGCCUCCCCCGAGCCUGCUUACUACUGCAUGUUGACUCAUUCUUUGUGUUUUUCAAACUUCCAUAUAUAACUAUUAGAAAAACCUGGGACCUCAGUGUUUACAGACAGAUACAGCAACUUAAAUCCUCAUGUCACGUUUGUAACAGUUAGAAUCCUUUAGCUUUGUUGCAGAACCAGGGUUGAGGCAGGCCAACAGGUGGACCAAGCUGGCUGCUGUGUUGCUAGGUGGCAAUGCUGCAGGGUUCUGUGGCGAGCUGGUGAAAGCAAGACAUUAGGCCACUGAUCCCACUGGCCUGCCUCCAAGCGCAGUGUCUGCCUGCAGCAGGCUUCUGAAUGGACAACGCUGCUGCAAACGGAGAAUGCUUUCAAGGACUUUGAAAUUAUAAUGCACAGUUGGAAGCUAUAAAAUGCUUUGAAGAAUACCACCCAUCCUAUUUAUGACAGGAAGCCCCUUUCUUUCUCAGUCCUUUUGAUUUUGAAAUUUACUGCUAAAGGAAAAAAAAAAUCUGUACAGGGAACAUGAUCUGGGAAGCCCAUUAAACCUCAUUUG
rnacentral:lncRNA from 1 species